GAUGAAGAACGUAGCGAAAUGCGAUAAGUAAUGUGAAUUGCAGAAUUCAGUGAAUCAUCGAAUCUUUGAACGCACAUUGCGCCCGCCAGUAUUCUGGCGGGCAUGCCUGUUCGAGCGUCAUUACAACCCUCAGGCCCCCGGGCCUGGCGUUGGGGAUCGGCGGAGCCCCCCGUGGGCACACGCCGUCCCCCAAAUGCAGUGGCGGUCCCGCCGCAGCUUCCAUCGCGUAGUAGCUAACACCUCGCGACUGGAGAGCGGCGCGGCCACGCCGUAAAACACCCAACUCUUCUGAAGUUGACCUCGAAACAGGUAGGAAUACCCGCUGAACUUAAGCAUAUCAAUAAGCGGAGGA
rnacentral:misc_RNA from 1 species